GGCCUCGUGGCUCAGCUGGUAGAGCACUCGCGGUACGAAAGCGACAGUGGUGACCAUGCGUAGGUUCGAAUCCAGCCGAGGCCA
rnacentral:tRNA from 1 species